rnacentral:rRNA from 1 species
CGCGUAGGCGGGAUAUUAAGUCAGGUGUGAAACUCAGGGCUCAACCUUGGGACUGCACUUGAAACUGAUAUUCUUGAGGACAGGAGAGGAAAGUGGAAUUCCUAGUGUAGCGGUGAAAUGCGUAGAUAUUAGGAGGAACACCAGUGGCGAAGGCGACUUUCUGGACUGUAACUGACGCUGAGGCGCGAAAGCGUGGGGAGUGAACG